rnacentral:lncRNA from 1 species
GCUAAAAUUGUUUAUAUAUAACAUUAGUUGUUCACACACCAUCAUGAACAUUGUUCAUACAUCACUGUUCACAUAUUUGGAGCCGAUGUGUCAGUCGAACGCUUCGGUCGAUCUCGUCCACUCGCUCGCGGCAGACAAUUAAAUCGGAAGGAUCUACCAUGUUAUAUCUUUCCUCAUCCCCGCGUCCUUCUUUUUUCCUUUUCCCCAACCUCCCGAUUGUCAUGGGAAAUCCUACCCCGGCGAUCUCCUCUAGCGACCCCGUCUUCUUCUCCCGUGAGCACCCUCGAACUCCCCUCGAUUCCCCUCUCUCAACUGCUCCAUGACGACCAGAGAAGUUGCAUCCAUGAACGAAGGCAUAAUUUACUACAUGUUUCAACCGGCAACGAUAUUUGCUACAACCGGCACCGCAUUUUGCUACCACCGGUGUCGCAUUUUGCUACAUCGCACAUGGCGUCGCGAUUUUUGCUAAAUGCGGUGUUUCAUUUUGCUACAACCGGCAUAAUGUUUUGCUACAUCCAUCACAACUGAGCUGCAUCCGACGGCGAGGGCGACGAUCAGGGAUGACGGGUGGCGAGAGAAGAUGAGGAGGCGAGGCGUGGGGUGCGGCGUGUGCCGGGACGACGCCUUCCUUUUUUCUGUGUUUCUCCCUGUGUGGGAGGUUAAAGAUGGGAUGCAGAAAAGGAGGAAGGAGAUCUAACGGCUACGCGCGUGCAAAUUAAACGGAUCCGGACUGACCGGCCGAGAAGAUUGGACCGGUAAAGACGAAGAACACUGUCUAAAGUUGAGACCGUUAUUUUAAAAUAGAGGGAGUACUUAACAUAUAUAAUCAAUCACCCAUUAUGUAGUAGCUACAGUGCAUUCCAUCAUGCAUCAUUUUUUUUAGCGGGGAUCAUGCAUCUCUGAACUAUACUUAAAUCGCGUGAUCACGGGCUAACGUCUUGUAGUUUCAUGUGACCUUCAUGAAAUCCUUGGGCCACGCAACUCAAAUAGUUUGACAUUGUGGCCGGUUAGUGGUAACAAAUCGACCACACACUUAUAAAAGUUUAUGAACUAUGCAUAGUAGUAGAUUAGUUGUAAAUAGGAUCUGUGGACGAAACCUCAUUAAUACCGACAUUGACACAGAUCUGAUGCGACUGAAUAUGUUGACAUCCCAAUGCAAACCGGACCCUGUUAUCCCGUUUAAGCCCACUUAUCGCUCUACCAGCUUAAUAAAAUAAAUCGUAGAAAAUGAAUUAUUGAGCUAACUAAAACUAACUAAACAGGACUUGCAGGCGCCGUUUAUUACGCCAUUUACAUAUCUAUCCCAUAAGUCUAGCGAAAUGAGCGACAGUACG